AUGAACUCUUUUACUGGACAGGUCCAUCGACUGAGUGUCAUAAUAACAGCCGGUCCACAUUGUGGACCGGGUUUCAUACGAAGGCAGAAAGGCCUAAACCAGCCCGACCCAACUCGAGGCCCGAACAACAGUGCCUUGCUGCAGAGUUAAGAUUGAGCCAGGCUCGCUUGAAGCGUUGGCUGCUUCAUUCGACGGGACCUCUUAGUGCCGUCGACGACUCACUCCGACGGCCCUGAUCAUCAGGCUCCAGCAGCUCACGCAAGUUGCCGGCGAAAAUUGCUCGACUUGCGAUUCCAAGGAAGAAACCCGCAUGCCUCGGUACAAAGAUGAGCCUCCCGCAGUCCGCGUGUACACGGUCUGUGAUGAAUCGAGAAACCUGAUCGUCAGGAAUGUUCCUGCGUUAGGAUGUGGAGAUGAGCUUUUGAAGCUCUUCGCCGCUUAUGGCGGCGUUGAAGAAUGUAAACCAAUGGAUGAAGAAGACUGUGAGCCGUACACUGAUGUUUAUUGGAUCAAGUUUUGUCUCGAUUGCAAUGCUAGGUUUGCGAAAAAAAAGUUGGAUGAGUAUGUCUUCUACGGGAAUAGACUGCAAGUUUCGUAUGCUCCCCAUUUUGAGAGCCUCUCUGAUACAAGAGAAAAGUUAGAAGCUAGGAGAAAGGAAGUUCUUGCUCGGUCGAACCCUGGAAGAUUCAAGGGUACUGCCACCUCUAGCAGUGUUGGUCUGGUUAGGUCUUCAGCUAAUGCAAGUUCCUUGCAGAAUAGUGCUGGCCGCCUACAGAUCUUCAAUCCCAAUAGUGCAUCACAGCUCAUUCCUCAUGCUGACGGUUCUCCGUAUACGAGGGUUUCCUCGGAGCUGGAUUAUUUUCAAUCCCAUUCGAUGAAUCAGACGGUGCAGUUGGUCAGAGACAAGCUCAAUAAGAUUGAAUCAAGUGGUGAGCAUCCACAAUCAGGACCUGCAGCGAAGAAAGCUCGCGUCGACAGCAGAAGGAGAAUUUGACUUUUAUCGGAACUAAGCAUUGCCCUAGGUUGAAGGAUGUCCUGAUCUUUCAGACAUUGCUUUUAUCUCACUGAUGCAGGACACGACUCUCUCCAUUUGAGCAAGUUUCAGGGCACUCAACUUUUGGGGCGAUACCUGUAUCACCCAUCUAUGAGGUUGACGAACACAUGAGCAUCAGCAAUAAAACCAGUAUCAGUGCAAUCCCUACUCAGCAUAAAUUUUCUUUAAAGUUGCCAAUCCAAUCGUGCAAAAGCAAAUUGAAUCUUCAGCUAAGGAAAAGCAUGCCAAUAUGGGCAUCCAUUUCAACAAUGGGGACAGACUGAUUGCUGGGGCGAACAAACUCAA